AGUUGUGCUUUUUAGCUGUAUCCGGCUGAAACGAGAAUAUUUAAUCGCAUCCAUUGAGAGUACUGCUGCUACUCGAGUCCCCACUAGGCACCACAGAAGUGAUCUAUGAGCCGGACAUAAAACUGAAGAUAUCUCCCAAGUGGCAGCAAGUAAUGGCAGUCUGUUGAAGGGUUGCAGUUGUGAGAAAUUAUCUUCCACAUGAAAUAGGAUACCAGAAGAAGCAAUUCAAAAGUCUACUUGAUAAUGAAGUGAAAUCCAGAUAAUACAUGGAGAAUGAAAGUAACUGUGGCCCAGAGAAGUCGUACUUGUGAGGGAAAGCUGUGCAGUGACAGUGAAGAAAAUGAAAGGUGCAACAUUAAUGCAUGCGUGAGCAUGUCCAUACAUGGCCUCCGUACUACAAACUCAGGUCGGGUUGAUUGCAAGAACGUCAUCCCCAUUAUAUCACUACUGGGACCUGGAACCGUACCUUCAAGAGUUUUAAGAGCAUCCCACUUCCAAUUUACACCAAUGAGACAGAUUUCAUGACACAUGCCAGUGAUA